rnacentral:rRNA from 1 species
UGGGAUGACGUCAAGUCCUCAUGGCCUUUAUGUCUAGGGCUACACACGUACUACAAUGGCAGGUACAAAGGGCAGCGACACAGCGAUGUGAUGCGAAUCCCGAAAAGCCUGUCUCAGUCCGGAUCGGAGUCUGCAACUCGACUCCGUGAAGUUGGAAUCGCUAGUAAUCGUGGAUCAGCAUGCCACGGUCGAAUACGUUCCCGGGCCUU